GUAGGUGGCAAGCGUUGUCCGGAAUUAUUGGGCGUAAAGCGCGCGCAGGCGGUCCUUUAAGUCUGAUGUGAAAGCCCACGGCUCAACCGUGGAGGGUCAUUGGAAACUGGGGGACUUGAGUACAGAAGAGGAAAGCGGAAUUCCAAGUGUAGCGGUGAAAUGCGUAGAGAUUUGGAGGAACACCAGUGGCGAAGGCGGCUUUCUGUCUGUAACUGACGCUGAGGCGCGAAAGCGUGGGGAGCAAACAGGGAUUAGAUACCCUGGUAGUCCACGCCGUAAACGAUGAGUGCUAAGUGUUAGGGGGUUUCCCGCCCCUUAGUGCUGCAGCUAACGCAUUAAGCACUCCGCCUGGGGAUACGGCCGCAAGGCUG
rnacentral:rRNA from 1 species